rnacentral:lncRNA from 1 species
GACGGACCGGCACUCGGUGCCUUAACUUGAUACCUCACAUGACUGAGCGGACCACUUAACUGAACAUACCUACAAGGGAUAGCAGCAAAAUAUAUUAAGUAAUGCAUUGAUCAUCAACUAGAAUGAGAAGCUAUUAUUUUAUACAUAUAAAAGUUAUCAGUGCAUAUGCUAUCUUAGUGGACCCAUAGGGCAGUAUGGAAGACAUACUCUUACUAUAAGAACCUGAUUUGGACAUAGUCUACGAAACCUCUAACAUAUGAUAUGAUCCAUAAAUAUGUCGAGACAAGGCGGGACGUACCUUAAGCCAUCUAUGUAAAUCAUAUGAAAAAAGUAAGGCCCUUAGUGGAAUUGGGUAUCACUGACUAUAGAUGAAAAUCUGCAAGGGGUUCCCGCCAAGAAACUUCCCAUCUAAAACGUGUGUACCUGCAGUGUGAGUGCAGCACCCCCGACAUAAUAUAAAACGACGUGAGUAGAUACAAAAUUUGUACUCGUAUGCAAGGCAAAU